CACGCCUUUUAGAGCUCCUCUCAAACAGAAGCUCAGGGAUUUGAGAGCAGAGUGGUUAUGGCCUGAAAUGUGACUUUACUACAGCACUUGAAACCCUUCUGCCGUUCAAAUAGGACGUGUCCCCCAGAGGUCAGCUACUUUUCUUGGAAGCAGUAUGGCCAGGGGAAGGAAGAAUGCCUCUCGGAUUUAAGCUUUGAAGAGCAAGAGUUCAAACUGCCAGAGCUGGACUAGCAGGUUUUAAUUUCCCAGGAUGCCAGGUCCCCUAGCUUCCUUGGGAGCUCUGCUCCACUCCCCCUGCCCUUUCUCCUGCCAAAGCUGCUGGAGUCCGGGGCCACCCAGAUCUGAGUCCAAAUCCUGCCUUGCUGUGAGCAGACUGGGGGCAGGGAUAGUGGUGGCCUUUGCAGGUGGAAGGGUGGCCUGGCCCCCAGUGAUUCUGGAAAAAGAACUCGCGCCAGUGGUGCGGUGCCCAUCUCCAGGGAGCUCAUAAAAGCAGCAUAAAUAAAGAUGACAUUAAUAAA